AGAACGAACGCUGGCGGCAGGCCUAAUACAUGCAAGUCGAGCGGGCGUAGCAAUACGUCAGCGGCGGACGGGUGAGUAACACGUGGGAACAUGCCCUUCGGUACGGAACAACUCAGGGAAACUUGAGCUAAUACCGUAUGAUCCGGCAACGGCAAAGAUUUAUCGCCGGAGGAUUGGCCCGCGUCCGAUUAGCUAGUUGGUGAGGUAACGGCCCACCAAGGCACCGAUCGGUAGCUGGUUUGAGAGAACGACCAGCCACACUGGGACUGAGACACGGCCCAGACUCCUACGGGAGGCAGCAGUAGGGAAUCUUGGACAAUGGGGGAAACCCUGAUCCAGCCAUGCCGCGUGAGUGAUGAAGGCCUUCGGGUUGUAAAACUCUUUCGACGGGGACGAUAAUGACGGUACCCGUAGAAGAAGCUCCGGCUAACUUCGCGCCAGCAGCCGC
rnacentral:rRNA from 1 species